AGAUAUCGCCGGGGUCACUCCUCCUCCCAGACCUCUGCGAUAAAAGACCGGCAUCUCCUCCUCCCAGCCGGUCUUUACAAAUAGCACCCGCCGCACCUCCUCCCGCGGCGGGUGUUGUUU
rfam:Paramesorhizobium deserti strain A-3-E Scaffold1, whole genome shotgun sequence.